UGCGUAGGCGGUUGACUAAGUCUGGUGUAAAAUCCCACAGCUUAACUGUGGAGGGUCAUUGGAAACUGGUUAACUAGAGUACGGUAGAGGUAAGCGGAAUUCCAGGUGGAGCGGUAAAAUGCGUAGAUAUUUGGAGGAACACCGGUGGCGAAGGCGACUUACUGGGCCGGAACUGACGCUGAUGCACGAAAGCGUGGGGAGCAAACA
rnacentral:rRNA from 1 species